GUGUCAGCCGCCGCGGUAAGACGAACCGUGCAAACGUUGUUCGGAAUCACUGGGCUUAAAGGGCGCGUAGGCGGGUCUCCAAGUCUGUGGUGAAAGCCUCCAGCUUAACUGGAGAAGUGCCGUGGAUACUGGGGAUCUCGAGGAGGGUAGGGGCAUCUGGAACAGCCGGUGGAGCGGUGAAAUGCGUUGAUAUCGGCUGGAACUCCGGUGGCGAAGGCGAGGUGCUGGACCCUUUCUGACGCUGAGGCGCGAAAGCCAGGGGAGCAAACGGGAUUAGAAACCCUGGUAGUCC
rnacentral:rRNA from 1 species